CACGGUAGGAGGCGAGCGUUGUCCGGAUUUACUGGGCGUAAAGGGAGCGUAGGCGGACUUUUAAGUGAGAUGUGAAAUACCCGGGCUCAACUUGGGUGCUGCAUUUCAAACUGGAAGUCUAGAGUGCAGGAGAGGAGAAUGGAAUUCCUAGUGUAGCGGUGAAAUGCGUAGAUAUUAGGAGGAACACCAGUGGCGAAGGCGACUUACUGGACUGUAACUGACGCUGAGUCACGAAAGCGUGGGUAGCAAACAGGAUUAGAUACCCCCGGUAGUCCCU
rnacentral:rRNA from 1 species